rnacentral:rRNA from 1 species
UGUGACCUCAAAUCAGGUAGGACUACCCGCUGAACUUAAGCAUAUCAAUAAGCGGAGGAAAAGAAACUAACAAGGAUUCCCCUAGUAACUGCGAGUGAAGCGGGAAAAGCUCAAAUUUAAAAUCUGGCAGUCUUUGGCUGUCCGAGUUGUAAUCUAGAGAAGUGUUAUCCGCGCUGGACCGUGUACAAGUCUCCUGGAAUGGAGCGUCAUAGAGGGUGAGAAUCCCGUCUUUGACACGGACUGCCAGGGCUUUGUGAUGCGCUCUCAAAGAGUCGAGUUGUUUGGGAAUGCAGCUCAAAAUGGGUGGUAAAUUCCAUCUAAAGCUAAAUAUUGGCGAGAGACCGAUAGCGAACAAGUACCGUGAGGGAAAGAUGAAAAGAACUUUGGAAAGAGAGUUAAACAGUACGUGAAAUUGCUGAAAGGGAAACGCUUGAAGUCAGUCGCGUUGUCCAGGGAUCAACCUUGCUUUUGCUUGGUGCACUUUCUGGUUGACGGGUCAGCAUCAAUUUUGAUCAUUGGAAAAAGAUUAGGGGAAUGUGGCAUCUUUGGAUGUGUUAUAGCCCUUGGUUGCAUACAAUGGUUGGGAUUGAGGAACUCAGCACGCCGCAAGGCCGGG